UACGAAGGUCCCAAGCGUUAUCCGGAUUUAUUGGGUUUAAAGGGUGCGUAGGCGGACUAUUAAGUCAGUGGUGAAAUCUCCAUGCCUAACAUGGAAACUGCCAUUGAUACUGAUGGUCUUGAGUACAUUUGAAGUGGGCGGAAUGUGUCAUGUAGUGGUGAAAUACUUAGAUAUGACACAGAACACCGAUUGCGUAGGCAGCUCACUAAACUGUAACUGACGCUGAGGCACGAAAGCGUGGGGAGCAAACAGG
rnacentral:rRNA from 1 species